GCCAGGUGUGGUGGCGCACACCUGUAAUCCCAGCUACUUGGGAGGCUGAGGCAGGAGAAUCAUUUGAACCUGGGAGGCGGAGGUUCCAGUGAGCCGAGAUGGCGCCACUGCACUCCAGCCUGGGCAACAGAGUGAGACUCAGUCUCAA
rnacentral:SRP_RNA from 1 species